rnacentral:rRNA from 1 species
UAACGAUACGGGACUCAUCCGAGGCCCCGUAAUCGGAAUGAGUACACUUUAAAUCCUUUAACGAGGACCCAUUGGAGGGCAAGUCUGGUGCCAGCAGCCGCGGUAAUUCCAGCUCCAAUAGCGUAUAUUAAAGUUGUUGCGGUUAAAAAGCUCGUAGUUGAAUCUGUGUGCCACGCUGUUGGUUCAUCGCUCGCGAUGUUUAACUGACAUGUUUGUGGGACGUCCUACCGGUGGGCUUAGCUCUUCGGGGCGGUCCAGCUAAUAUCCCAUCGCGGUGCUCUUUGCCGAGUGUCGAGGUGGGCCGGUACGUUUACUUUGAACAAAUUAGAGUGCUCAAAGCAGGCUAUGUUCGCCUGAAUAUAUGUGCAUGGAAUAAUGGAAUAGGACCUCGGUUCUAUUUUGUUGGUUUUCGGAACCCCGAGGUAAUGAUUAAUAGGGACAGAUGGGGGCAUUCGUAUUGCGACGUUAGAGGUGAAAUUCUUGGAUCGUCGCAAGACGGACAGAAGCGAAAGCAUUUGCCAAAAAUGUUUUCAUUAAUCAAGAACGAAAGUUAGAGGUUCGAAGGCGAUCAGAUACCGCCCUAGUUCUAACCAUAAACGAUGCCAGCUAGCGAUCCGCCGAAGUUCCUCCGAUGACUCGGCGGGCAGCUUCCGGGAAACCAAAGCUUUUGGGUUCCGGGGGAAGUAUGGUUGCAAAGCUGAAACUUAAAGGAAUUGACGGAAGGGCACCACCAGGAGUGGAGCCUGCGGCUUAAUUUGACUCAACAC